GAUGAACGCUGGCGGCGUGCCUAAUACAUGCAAGUCGAGCGAACGGACGAGAAGCUUGCUUCUCUGAUGUUAGCGGCGGACGGGUGAGUAACACGUGGAUAACCUACCUAUAAGACUGGGAUAACUUCGGGAAACCGGAGCUAAUACCGGAUAAUAUUUUGAACCGCAUGGUUCAAAAGUAAAAGACGGUCUUGCUGUCACUUAUAGAUGGAUCCGCGUUGCAUUAGCUAGUUGGUAAGGUAACGGCUUACCAAGGCAACGAUGCAUAGCCGACCUGAGAGGGUGAUCGGCCACACUGGAACUGAGACACGGUCCAGACUCCUACGGGAGGCAGCAGUAGGGAAUCUUCCGCAAUGGGCGAAAGCCUGACGGAGCAACGCCGCGUGAGUGAUGAAGGUCUUCGGAUCGUAAAACUCUGUUAUUAGGGAAGAACAUAUGUGUAAGUAACUGUGCACAUCUUGACGGUACCUAAUCAGAAAGCCACGGCUAACUACGU
rnacentral:rRNA from 1 species